rnacentral:lncRNA from 1 species
AGCACACUCCCACUGGGUACACAACUAAAUAGUUUAUGAGGUAAUUCGUAUUUUAAUGUCUUUCCUAAUGAGCCCUUUCAGUAAUGAAAUCCCCUGAGAAAACGUUAUUGGUUCCCAGACGUUUCUUAGGCUCCUAGGGCAGGAAGGCUGAUGAAGGUGGAAACAUGAGGCUCUAGAGUAGAAAACAGUUUUCAUCUAGGCAGUGUUAAACAAUGAUUAAACGAUGAACCCUGUUCAUUUCUGCUGAUGGCUGCUGAACAUUGAUCCUGAGAGCUGCUCGCUAUGAAAAGAAUGAAAUGAAUGUCUCUACUUAAAAAAAAUACAAAAUUAGCCAGGCAUGGUAGCACAUGCCU